UGCGGGGUGGAGCAGUCUGGUAGCUCGUCGGGCUCAUAACCCGAAGGUCUUGGGUUCAAAUCCCAACCCCGCUACCA
rnacentral:tRNA from 1 species